CAAAACCACAUUUAUACCAAACCGCAUCAUAAAAUAAAAUAAAAAUUCUUAAGGCCUGUUUUGUAGAUUUUGUAAGAGUUUUUGGUUUUUGUUUU
rnacentral:sRNA from 1 species